rnacentral:rRNA from 1 species
UUGAUCCCGCCGGACCUGACUGCUAUCAGAUUGAUACUAAGCCAUGCGAGUCAUUGUAGUAAUACAAGGCAGACGGCUCAGUAACGCGUAGUCAACCUAACCUAUGGACGGGGAUAAUCUCGGGAAACUGAGCAUAAUACCCGAUAGAACAUUAUGCCUGGAAUGGUUUAUGUUCCAAAUGAUUUAUCGCCGUAGGAUGGGACUGCGGCCUAUCAGUUUGUUGGUGAGGUAAUGGCCCACCAAGACUAUUACAGGUACGGGCUCUGAGAGGAGUAGCCCGGAGAUGGGUACUGAGACACGGACCCAGGCCCUAUGGGGCGCAGCAGGCGAGAAAACUUUGCAAUGUGCGAAAGCACGACAAGGUUAAUCCGAGUGGUUUCUGCUAAAGGAACCUUUUGACAGUCCUAGAAACACUGUUGAAUAAGGGGUGGGCAAGUUCUGGUGUCAGCCGCCGCGGUAAAACCAGCACCUCAAGUGGUCAGGAUGAUUAUUGGGCCUAAAGCAUCCGUAGCCGGCUCUGUAAGUUUUCGGUUAAAUCUGUACGCUCAACGUACAGGCUGCCGGGAAUACUGCAGAGCUAGGGAGUGGGAGAGGUAGACGGUACUCGGUAGGAAGGGGUAAAAUCCUUUGAUCUAUUGAUGACCACCUGUGGCGAAGGCGGUCUACCAGAACACGUCCGACGGUGAGGGAUGAAAGCUGGGGGAGCAAACCGGAUUAGAUACCCGGGUAGUCCCAGCUGUAAACCAUGCAAACUCAGUGAUGCAUUGGCUUGUGGCCAAUGCAGUGCUGCAGGGAAGCCGUUAAGUUUGCCGCCUGGGAAGUACGUACGCAAGUAUGAAACUUAAAGGAAUUGGCGGGGGAGCACCACAAGGGGUGAAGCCUGCGGUUC